GGUGCUGGCUGUGCUCCCCGCCCCGGGGCGGACGGCAGCCUCGUGCGGGAUGUGAACGCCUCUCCUCUGGCUCUGCGCAGCGCUGCCCUGCAGGGGGUGUCCAGUAGGGUGUCCCGGUACCCACAGAUUGAAGCUGACGGCCGUGCACGCGUUCUGGGGCAGUCUUGGAACAACGUCGGCGAUGCUGAAGCUACGUGGACGUAGAUGGUGGUACAACGACAAAAGCGGUGGUACCAAGUCCUCCUGGUCUGUACUUGCGAGUCAGUGGCUGUUACUUCCUAAGUACUAACCUGAGAACGUGUCUUAGCAUGGGGAGCUGAAAUUCAUCCGGGUUAUGAAUGGGAAAUAGCGUUACUUUGGUUUAUCCUCUUUGUUAGAUACACCAGUCUGAAUCACUAGAGGCAUUUUCAGUUGGAAACCUGGGUGGAUUUGCAGACAGUCCUGUAAUUGUAACCAAUCACUUUUCACCGGGCUCUCCUUGGUUGUGUUUUUUCUUUUUCUUUUUUUUUUUUCUUUUUUUUUUUUUUAAACAUUAAGAGUCUUUAAAUCAACCAAAUAAAACAUGAAGUCAAACUCU